rnacentral:rRNA from 1 species
GAUGAACGCUGGCGGCGUGCCUAAUACAUGCAAGUCGAGCGAACAGACGAGGAGCUUGCUCCUCUGACGUUAGCGGCGGACGGGUGAGUAACACGUGGAUAACCUACCUAUAAGACUGGGAUAACUUCGGGAAACCGGAGCUAAUACCGGAUAAUAUAUUGAACCGCAUGGUUCAAUAGUGAAAGACGGUUUUGCUGUCACUUAUAGAUGGAUCCGCGCCGCAUUAGCUAGUUGGUAAGGUAACGGCUUACCAAGGCAACGAUGCGUAGCCGACCUGAGAGGGUGAUCGGCCACACUGGAACUGAGACACGGUCCAGACUCCUACGGGAGGCAGCAGUAGGGAAUCUUCCGCAAUGGGCGAAAGCCUGACGGAGCAACGCCGCGUGAGUGAUGAAGGUCUUCGGAUCGUAAAGCUCUGUUAUUAGGGAAGAACAAAUGUGUAAGUAUCUAUGCACGUCUUGACGGUACCUAAUCAGAAAGCCACGGCUAACUACGUG